UCUCUGUUGGGUAGUUGGUAAAGGUCACUUGUUUAUCAUCUUCAAUUAGCCCAAGACUAAUUCGCACUGGUCUUCUCCUUAGGUUGGGCCAAGCAUAACCUAUAUAUACAGUUCUUCUCACAGGCCAAGCUCAGUGACGAUAUUAUCUCAAUUUUUAACUCACUUACCAUGAAUAGACCUAAUUCCUUCUUCAUUAUCCUUAUACCCUUGAUCUUCACUGGAAUGGCAACUUUUUUCCGGUUCGCUGACGGAGGAAAGCGAAGAAUCCACAUCGAGGACGACCUCGAUGACGUAGUUGACGAGGAGGACGAGGCCUAGAAGCAGUGGGCAAGAAAUCAAUUCUCUCUUCUGAUGAGUUCGAUCCAGCGCCUUCCGAUUUGUCCAACAUGGACAUGUCGCAGAUCCAGGAGUUGAUGAGGAAGCAGCAUUGGGCCGGUUUUUGGGUUCGUAAGCUUCAAUUUGGUGUGCGCGGGACUCCGGUUAAUGGAUUUUUAUUCUUUGCGAUUUUGGUUCAGUCGUUAACUGGGAUUUGGUUUUGUUUUGGAAUAGAGUGAGCUGUCCCUACUAGGUUCGGUGUCAUGCAUUUAAUUAUUCAAUCAUUCGAGGGUGCAAUUGGAAGAAAUGGCUAGCGUUUUGAAUUAUAACGAUGGAUUGCAAGUGCAUUCCGGUUCCUUUGUAUAAUUUUGGUUAUUCAGGUUCUGAAUUCUGAUUUUCCGUUUUCAAUACUCCUUGGUCUAUGAAUGAUGAUGUCCUAUUUCACUAUAAUAAUUUCUAUAUUUUCAGCAUAUGCCCGAUCUUUUGCAUUUCCUUACUUUGUGGUAAAAGCUUGAGCUGGGCUAACGAUUUUGCAACUUAUUUUCAGGAAAUGGUGGCAGCGAUUGCAAUGACAUGGACCAAAGUUCUAAUAAUUGAAGCAAUUAAGGUGAAGUUCAUGGGUGUUGAUACCAGCACAAUUAAGUUCACGGAAAAAGGCCAAAACAUGGUUGAGAAUAUUUUGAGUGAUAUUUGCGGCAUACGAGAACACUCACAUUUCCAAAUCACACAUUUCCUUUUUAACUAUAAUUUACUGAAUCUUGUGUUAUACUUAUUUAUUUAUUAUUUUUUAAUCUCGUUGUCUACACCGUGAAACAUACAUUAUACUAUUGUUCCGUGUUUUAGUUCGUCAAGCAAUUGCUUGAACGUCUGAUUUCAUGUCAUUCUAGCACCUCAUCUUUCCAUCUUCUCUUACCAGUUGAAGGAGUUCAUCUUAAACGAACCAGAGGCUUAUGAGAUCAAGAUUCGGGAUCAAGUUUUCCGUAAACCUGGAGGCCCUACCUUGGAGGAAGUUAUUGAGAAGCUUCAGAGUAAGAAGGAGACAAGUCAGUAUGUUGAGCAUCCGAAAGAAGAAUUGUUCUCCGGGAUCUCAUUACAUGCAACUUCUGACACAUUAAUCAUAACAUUAGGUCAUUGUACAUUGUAACUUAAUAGUCUGAUUGCAGCACUUCAUCCACAAUCCUCCACUUUCUUCCCUCUCAUUUGCUUUUCUAAUCUCACUACCCUCCUAAUAUAGCCUCGUUAUUACUCAUGAU